UACGUAGGGGGCAAGCGUUGUCCGGAUUUAUUGGGCGUAAAGAGCGUGUAGGCGGCUUUACAGGUCCGUUGUGAAAACUCGAGGCUCAACCUCGAGACGCCGGUGGAAACCGUAAAGCUAGAGUCCGGAAGAGGAGAGUGGAAUUCCUGGUGUAACGGUGAAAUGCGCAGAUAUCAGGAAGAACACCCGUGGCGAAGGCGGCUCUCUGGGACGGUACUGACGCUGAGACGCGAAAGCGUGGGGAGCGAACAGG
rnacentral:rRNA from 1 species